UACGCUGGCGGCUGCUUAACACAUGCAAGUUGAACGGGUUUAAGUUUAUUAAACUUAAACAAGUAGCGGACGGGUGAGUAACGCGUAAGAACCUACCUUUAGGUAAGGAAUAACUAUUGGAAACGAUAGAUAAUACCUUAUAAGCUUAUAGUAAAAGAUAAAAUCGCCUAAGGAUGGGCUUGCGUCUGAUUAGCUUGUUGGUGAUUUAAAAGAUUCACCAAGGCAACGAUCAGUAGUUGGUCUAAGAGGAUGAUCAACCACACUGGGACUGAGACACGGCCCAGACCUCUACGGAGGGCAGCAGUGAGGAAUUUUCCGCAAUGGGCGAAAGCCUGACGGAGCAAUGCCGCGUGGAGGAUGAAAGCUUGUGAGUCGUAAACUCCUUUUCUUAGUGAAGAAAUAAGACGGUAUCUAAGGAAUAAGCAUCGGCUAACUCCGUGCCAGCAGCCGCGGUAAUACGGAGGAUGCAAGCGUUAUUCGGAAUUAUUGGGCGUAAAGCGUCUGUAGGUGGUUUUUUAAGUCUACUGUUAAAUAUUAAGGCUUAACCUUAAAAAAGCGGUAUGA
rnacentral:rRNA from 1 species